rnacentral:rRNA from 1 species
ACGAACGCUGGCGGCAUGCCUAACACAUGCAAGUCGAACGAACUCUUCGGAGUUAGUGGCGCACGGGUGCGUAACGCGUGGGAAUCUGCCCUUGGGUACGGAAUAACUCAGAGAAAUUUGUGCUAAUACCGUAUAAUGACUUCGGUCCAAAGAUUUAUCGCCCAAGGAUGAGCCCGCGUAAGAUUAGCUAGUUGGUGGGGUAAAGGCCUACCAAGGCUACGAUCUUUAGCUGGUCUGAGAGGAUGAUCAGCCACACUGGGACUGAGACACGGCCCAGACUCCUACGGGAGGCAGCAGUGGGGAAUAUUGGACAAUGGGCGAAAGCCUGAUCCAGCAAUGCCGCGUGAGUGAUGAAGGCCUUAGGGUUGUAAAGCUCUUUUACCCGGGAUGAUAAUGACAGUACCGGGAGAAUAAGCUCCGGCUAACUCCGU